GGGCGUCUCUUUCUCUUUGAGUAGAGGCGCACCCAGAGCGCACACGCUGAUACCCGAAAGAUGGUGAACUAUGCCUGGCCAGGACGAAGCCAGGGGAAACCCUGGUGGAGGUCCGCAGCGAUUCUGACGUGCAAAUCGAUCGUCGGAGCUGGGUAUAGGGGCGAAAGACCAAUCGAACCAUCUAGUAGCUGGUUCCCUCCGAAGUUUCCCUCAGGAUAGCUUGCGCUCACGUGAACGAGUCUCAUCCGGUAGAGCGAAUGAUUAGAGGCCUUGGGGUCGAAACGACCUCAACCUAUUCUCAAACUCCAAAUAGAUGAGAACUCCGGCUUUCUUGAACUUUGUUUUUGAAGCCGGGGGCUUGGAUCAGAGUGCCAAGUGGGCCAAUUUU
rnacentral:rRNA from 1 species